CUGUUAAAAGCAUUUGCGGAAAAUCAUGCCAGUCUAGACGUAGCCCUAGAGUCAUGCUGAAAUUAUACUUUGUGUCCCAGAAUUUCCUGCACCUCCAAAAUAAUGUCACAUUUCCUUUAAUACACUUUCAAUUUCUGAAUUCUGUCUAUCCUUCUCAAAUGAAACACAUUCCUUCCUUCCUUCUUUGAACCCAAUGCACGCCGCUGCUCCAUGUCUCUCUGCAUUCCCUUUACUUUUGAAAGUAGAGGAACAUACCCUUUUCUCUCUGACCUCACACACUGUGGUCAAGUACAAACACAUUCAAGAAAAGACAGAACAAUGCUCAAAAACAUACUGUUAUUUCUCCUGUGUAGUGAGUGGAGUUGCUAUUACAGCACAUGGGAAAGGACAUUCCAGGCACUUCUUCUAGUCCUACUAUACCAUUAUCUCUGUAGUCUCUGAAAUAGAAAACAUUUUUAAAUACAUAUUCUCAUUAGCGCUGGCUCUCCCAUUCAGUCCUUCUUGCCCCCACCUCCCAGCUAUAUACAGCUAAGAGUGGCUGAGAGGGAUAUGAUCCAGUUGCUGUGAAGAGAUGUUAUAUCUGUUGGCCAAUGAAAUACAGUGUUCAUUGUGCGGUCCUUCCUCUCUUGUACGUUCAUCUUUUCUAUGAAGUGCUACCAGACGAUUUGUUGUUUUUUAAGCUUAUCCUAUACAGACUAACUCGGCUACCCCCUGAAGCAUCUUUACUGUAUACUUCAUGGUGACUUUUCUGUAGUCUACCUCCACAACCAUGUAUGUGAACUAUUACUGAGACUGUGGUACUGUCUCUUUAAAAUGGGUCUUAUCAUGUCCUCCCAUUACCACUUUGUCAGGUUUCUCUGGCAUGUAGGAGCCAUCUUGUUAUGUGUAUGCAUAAAAGAGAAACAUGUACCUGUGUAACUCUAUGUUCCUGACAUGCAGAGGCUGUAGCUCCCUCACAAAGACAGGGACUCUUCCAGCUACAUGACUGUGCUAGCAACAAUGUAGGGCGGCAGAAGAGAGACUCCGUUCUAUAGGAAGUGGCUAUUUUUUUUGCCAGGAUGCAGUGUAAAUGGUGCAAACUGUCACACGCAGACAAGACGCUGCCAUCCACAGACCAGCCGAAACCAAACAGAAGGCACAGCAUAUGAAGACAAGUAUUUAUAGAGCACCCAGCAGCAUAGAAACCAGGCACUGUGUUAAUACACCUCUCCUGGCCUGUCCCUCCAAGGGGCCCCUCACUACCCUCCUUCUCUCCUCCAUGUAAUUAAGUAAUCACAAUGGAACAGUUGUGCUUGAAAGCACAAUUGCUCUAGCAGGGGCAUGGCCAUUGUUGGUGGCAAGGUGCUUUCAGGCUUCAUCCCUCUCAGAUCAUCCCUACAGAAGCUUCAGCAUGAUUGUGUGCUGAUGAAGGUGGAAAAAAACCAAGAACAAUUGUGUCCUCUUCUAGAUGGAGAACAUAAAUUCAGAGAGGUCUCACAGAAGAAUAUCACUUUCUCCUCAGUUAAGCAAGAAUUUCCUGUGUCCAACAUCAUAUGAGCGUCAGUAGUGAUCUAAAAUUACCACAGAAGAUACAGGAUGCCUGGCUGAGAUCCCUGUUUAUUUAUGUAUCUGGGUCAUUGUUAGGGUUUUUGCUGUUGGUCCGUUACCACAAUUGACAGAGGCCUUCUCCCAGUUUGUGUUAGAUAUUAGACCCAUGUUGUACCCAGAUGGGACCAAAGGUAGCUCUGCUUUGGGAAGGGAUCCAAAAUGGGGAGAUUUCAAGGGAGUUUCACCAAAUAUUUAGUAACUCACUGAACAUGUCAGAUUCUUCUCAUGAGUUUAUAGAUCAGCCCUGAAGACAGAUCAUUCUCAACCCAGGGGAUAGUAAAAACCCCUGCAUCUUUCCACUGAGGAGGCAAGAGAUCAGAAUGUUAUAUCCUGAAUGGAAGAUCAUAGGCUAGCUUGUAUUACAGUUGGAAUGAUUUUGGGUGAGUUCUUGCUCUCGCAUGCCAAGGAAAAUACAGGCCCUAGAAUGCAUGUUAUGAUUUUAUGCGCAACUUUGUUAUCAGUAUUGCUCCUUUUUAUCACUCGAGCCUCUGUUUUUUGUUAAAGAAAACCUUUCUCACUAAAUAAAUCUCUGUGUCAUGUGUAAAGCAGAGCUGGUUCGUGGUAAGCUCUGCUGAAUAGCUCUUUGGAAGUGGCAGCUCUGGAGCACCAGGGAGCCAGUGUCCAGUGGAUCAGGGCUCAAAACUGCAGGUGGAUGCUUGGAGGGCUUGGAUUGGAGUCAGUGUUCCCUCUAAGCUGCUCGCCUGCGUGGCCGCCCAUAGAGCACUCUCCACUCACUUUUUUGCUGGACCUGAAGGUGAGAGGUAGCAGCAGUGGCAAUAGUGAGCUGCUGGGGCCACGUGACAGCAAGUGGCUGCCUUGCCCCCAGUUUGCUUCAUUGAAUGUGGUGUUUGGGGUUCUUUUCCAGAUGAGCAUGUCUUGCUGAGUGCAGCACAGUCCGUGGUCUUACUUUACACUCUGGAACCAGCUACAAGUCUGCAGAAAAUGGGCUCAUCAAGUGGGGAUUUUCAAAAGCAACUUAAGGACAUACAUGCUAUUGAAAAUCAGGGGGAUGUGCUUCUGGGGCACUUUUGAAAAUCCCACUCAGCUGAACGUGACUCUAGAACCAGAAUUUUUGCAGAUUCAGGAUUUGAAAUUUCACAUAGUGUUGAUGCUCCAAAAACAAAAAAGAUAUUUAAGAGAGUUUCGUAAAAAAGUGAAAUUUGUGGGCAUGACAUUGCCUAAAACACAGUGAAAAUGUCUGUGCUUAAUUCUACCGUGACAUUUUCAUCAGUUUCAUGCACCAACAGUGCUUUGUCGAGCAGGCAACAAAAGGAAGAGGGAUUAAGUGUGGAUUUUUCCCUCUUAGCACAACCAAAAUUCUCAUUAAAGACAAUGGGGCACAUUCUGAUCUCUCUCACGCCAGCAUAAAUCAAGAGUCACUGCUAUGAAGUCUAUAGUUACUCCAGUGAAGGAGAUAGGGUAAG